rnacentral:lncRNA from 1 species
ACGGGCAUCCAAAAAGAGCCUGUCGCGUACAAGUUUUUAGGACAGAAAGUUCAUAACUGAAAUAGGUUGGAGAAGCACACUGAAACGAACGUGCCGGAGGUUAGAGACGAAGAAUCGUCACGAGGCUCAUAACCGGUCUCAAACGAUUUGACUACGAAAUUGACGUCUCGUUCGAGGUCGGUAAGGACGUCAGUCUGGAGCGCUUCGGAAACCACCGAGCCACCGGUUGAACAAGUACCCGUCAAAAGCAUGGACAGGUUAUAUGAAUGUCAUUAUUACUUCUUGAACAAUCUCUGCCUACUUCAUUCUUCCUCAGGAAACCAGUAUUUCCACUCGCCGUGGAACUCGCUCGGUACCUCGAAGGUACGGAAGUACACUACGUGUACACGUGUACACGUACGUGUACACUUACGUGUAGGUUGUACGAAAGUACUUCCGGAAGUACCUUCGUACCUUCGUACAUACAGCUUUUAUUCACAAGCAAGCAAGGGGAUAUUACGAAGGUACAGUAUGGAUGUACAUACAUUGGCUAUUAAUAAAUAAAAAUAAAUAAUGCAACUAUCAUGCAUCUCAUACUGUACGUAUCAUAGUAGUGUACAACGUUGUACUUUCGAAAGUACCUUCGUAGUUGAGUAUGAGAGUACACUAUUUUAUCUUCGAUCGAAGGUACUCGUGCAACGUUGUUUGUGUACAACGCGUUACACCUGUAGCCCUACAGUAGGGCUACAACGUUGUACACUAAACGUAUUUUUAUUUACUCGCCGAAGGCGAAGACUUUUUUUGAGUACGUGUACACGUACGUGUACAAUCGUUGUACUCGGAAAUAGAAUGUGGAUAAAUACCUUCGUAGGUACUUUCGUACUUUCGUACACGUGUACACGUACAUUAUGUACAUAAAGGCAUACAAGG